UACGAAGGGGGCUAGCGUUGCUCGGAAUCACUGGGCGUAAAGGGUGCGUAGGCGGGUCUUUUAAGUCAGGGGGUGAAAUCCUGGAGCCACACUCCAGAACUGCCUUUGAUACUGAAGAUCUUGAGUUCGGGAGAGGUGAGUGGAACUGCGAGUGUAGAGGUGAAAUUCGUAGAUAUUCGCAAGAACACCAGUGGCGAAGGCGGCUCACUGGCCCGAUACUGACGCUGAGGCACGAAAGCGUGGGGAGCAAACAGG
rnacentral:rRNA from 1 species